rnacentral:misc_RNA from 1 species
UCUCCGUAGGUGAACCUGCGGAGGGAUCAUUACUGAGUGAGGGCUUCGGUCCGACCUCCAACCCUUUGUGAACCAAACUUGUUGCUUCGGGGGCGACCCUGCCGCUUCGGCGGUGCGGCGCCCCCGAAGGUCUCCCAACACUGCAUCUUUGCGUCGGAGUUUAAGUAAAUUAAACAAAACUUUCAACAACGGAUCUCUUGGUUCUGGCAUCGAUGAAGAACGCAGC